CAGGGAGACAACAAAAUGUUUAAUAUUAUUAUUUUGUCACCUUAGGUCGAUCGGUAUCUCACGUUUUUAAUUUAUUAAGAAUUUCAUUUCCUAAGUUUUUCCUAGGUCACACCCAUUAUUUUUCCUGGGCCAUUAGCUCAGGUGGUUAGAGCGCACCCCUGAUAAGGGUGAGGUCCCUGGUUCAAGUCCAGGAUGGCCCAUAUCUCUAUGUUGGGGGUAUAGCUCAGUUGGUAGAGCGCCUGCUUUGCAAGCAGGAUGUCAGCGGUUCGAGUCCGCUUACCUCCACUGAUUACCACCUCUUCCAUAAUCGGUAGAAAGGAAAUGUUUUGGGUUGUGAUCAAAUUCUGAAAGAAUCUAGCUUCCUAAUGAAAUCAUUAAGAUGCUGGACUCAUUGAAUUAAUUUCAUUGUUUUCAGAGAACCUUGACAACUGCAUAGAUUAUUUUUAAAGACAAUAAGCAUUUUUAAUGAUGCAGAUUUAUUAUUUGUGCGAAUGCAUUAAUAACAAUUCUAUUAAGCUGAUGCUUCAAUUUUUGAAGUUAUU
rnacentral:tRNA from 1 species